GGCUGAUGCUUCCAUUGGCUUGCUCCCUUCUUUCCUUGGCCUCUUCUUAUAUAUUCCCAAGGUUUGGGAGCGUUGCACCAGAGCUCACAGAUGUAAAUGUCACAUAUCUCUAGCAUUAUCGCCUUGAUCACAUUAGUGAGUCAAAAAUUAACAAGUUAUACAAAAAAAAGUUCUUUGAUCCUUAUGAUUUUGAAUCAUAUGGAACUUGUGAAUCUUGUCUCAUAGG
rnacentral:lncRNA from 1 species